rnacentral:rRNA from 1 species
UACAGAGGGUGCGAGCGUUGUCCGGAAUCACUGGGCGUAAAGGGCGCGUAGGUGGCGCUGCAAGUCGGUGGUGAAAGCUCGACGCUUAACGUCGAGUCGGCCAUCGAAACUGCAGGGCUCGAGCACUGUAGGGGCAGAUGGAAUUCCGGGGUGUAGCGGUGGAAUGCGUAGAGAUCCGGAAGAACACCGGUGGCGAAGGCGGUCUGCUGGGCAGUUGCUGACACUGAGGCGCGACAGCGUGGGGAGCAACAGG